AGUAACACGUGGAUAACCUACCUAUAAGACUGGGAUAACUUCGGGAAACCGGAGCUAAUACCGGAUAAUAUUUUGAACCGCAUGGUUCAAAAGUGAAAGACGGUCUUGCUGUCACUUAUAGAUGGAUCUGCGCUGCAUUAGCUAGUUGGUAAGGUAACGGCUUACCAAGGCAACGAUGCAUAGCCGACCUGAGAGGGUGAUCGGCCACACUGGAACUGAGACACGGUCCAU
rnacentral:rRNA from 1 species